CAGAGGAACCCCAUCAAACUUGGAUUUUGUAAGUAGUUGCGAAUGAACACAAAUUUGAUCACUUUGGCAAUCUGUACACAUUGCUGUGUAACAAUUUGUAUACGUUGGCACAGUGCUAUCAAAGCUGCAUGCAAGUGUUUUUUGAAAGGAUACAACAUGGGAUGUGAUAUUCAUGUGUGUGUGCCUGCUUUGUCCACAGCCUGUGCUGUAUGAAUCACAUUUCUUGCAACUGAAAUGCUAAUGGCAUGGUAAAGUUCAUGUGACAUGACACAAGCUUGAGAUUCAUGAUGUGCAAGUACCAUGAGGGAAAUGUGAAAAGGACUUUGGAAAGAGAAUUAAAUAAAGCCUGCAUUUGCUGACAAUGAAAGCAAGUGUGGAUGUUCAUGUAAUUGUUACUGCAUCAAUCAAUGUUCAUCUUGGUUACUGCAUGCUUUAUAUUACAGCUCAGAACAUGAAGUGUGUGUAACAGCUCUGCUUUGAUUUUUCCCACAUGGGAUCAGUUGAAACAUUGUGAGAGCACUCUUCAGUUUCCUUAUGUACCCACCAGCUUUGUCCACUCGCGUGUUGGCACACAUGUAAUGAUGAUGUGUUUAUGCAAGAUACUUCUGUGCUCAACAACAUGUUGUGUCAAUCCUCA
rnacentral:rRNA from 1 species